rnacentral:rRNA from 1 species
AUAUCAAUAAGCGGAGGAAAAGAAACUAACAAGGAUUCCCCUAGUAACUGCGAGUGAAGCGGGAAAAGCUCAAAUUUAAAAUCUGGCGGUCUCCGGCCGUCCGAGUUGUAAUCUAGAGAAGUGUUAUCUGCGCUGGACCGUGUACAAGUCUCCUGGAAUGGAGCAUCAUAGAGGGUGAGAAUCCCGUCUUUGACACGGACUGCCAGGGCUUUGUGAUGCGCUCUCAAAGAGUCGAGUUGUUUGGGAAUGCAGCUCAAAAUGGGUGGUAAAUUCCAUCUAAAGCUAAAUAUUGGCGAGAGACCGAUAGCGAACAAGUACCGUGAGGGAAAGAUGAAAAGAACUUUGGAAAGAGAGUUAAACAGUACGUGAAAUUGCUGAAAGGGAAACGCUUGAAGUCAGUCGCGUUGGCCGGGGAUCAACCUUGCUUUUGCUGGGCGUACUUUCCGGUCGACGGGUCAGCAUCAAUUUUGACCGUUGGAUAAAGUCCAGGGGAAUGUGGCAUCUUCGGAUGUGUUAUAGCCCUUGGUCGCAUACAACGGUUGGGAUUGAGGAACUCAGCACGCCGCAAGGCCGGGUACUUGUACCACGUUCGUGCUUAGGAUGCUGGCAUAAUGGCUUUAAUCGACCCGUCUUGAAACACGGACCAAGGAGUCUAACAUGCCUGCGAGUGUUUGGGUGGAAAACUCGGACGCGUAAUGAAAGUGAAAGUUGAGAUCCCUGUCGCGGGGAGCAUCGACGCCCGGACCAGACCUUUUGUGACGGAUCCGCGGUAGAGCAUGUAUGUUGGGACCCGAAAGAUGGUGAACUAUGCCUGAAUAGGGUGAAGCCAGAGGAAACUCUGGUGGAGGCUCGUAGCGAUUCUGACGUGCAAAUCGAUCGUCAAAUUUGGGUAUAGGGGCGAAAGACUAAUCGAACCAUCUAGUAGCUGGUUCCUGC